UCCCAAAAUAGGCAGCCAUACACGGAUCUUCAUCUGUUUCUUCUCGUUAGCCCUCUUCCCUUCACCGAAUUGGCUUCUCUCCAAUCUCCACAACAACAAUAAAGAACAAAUUGGUGUUGGAACUUUGAUGUGUUUUUCAAUUUUGUCUUUCGGCACAGUAUGAUCCUUUUAUAAAUUUAUAGUAAGCGAUGAUGAACUGCAUGAUGAACCACUUCUGUCACUCUCUUAUACAAUUUGUUCUUUUUUUUAAGUCUACUAUAGUUUUGAUCUUCUACAUCUCUUUGGCAUGACUCAUGGAUUGGCUCUGCUUAUCUCAAUAAUGCCUUUGUGAAUUCGUUUGCUUUAGCUUAGGACAAGCGUAGCAGAAUUGCAUGUAUGGUGAAUUGGAGUAGCAAUUCAAAGUGGUGGAAACUUAAGUGAAGAAGACUAUUACUGUCUAGGGAAUCAAUUCAAGUGAUCUGACUUUUGAUUUCACCAGUCCAUCUGAAUGAAGAAAAAAGAGAUCUUCUGGUUUGGAGAUAUGAUAGCAAAGGACUUUUCCCAGUUAAGGCCUGCAAUUAUCUCAUGAAUUCUGUUAUGCUCUUUUUUUUGGUUAAAUCUAGCACCUCUAAAGUUGAAGCAUCCACAUGGUUGACAGCGUUAGAUAGACUAAGCACUAGAGACGUUUUUGUUCACAGAGGAAAUCUUUGCUGUCGUGGAGAAUUGUUUCCAUUUUGAAGUCUUCAUAAUGAGACAUUAUCUCAUGUGAUGCUUCGUUGCCGUGGAAUGUGGUUGCUUUGGGAUUGAAUUAUGAGUAGGUGGGGGUGUGGUUUGGAUUAUGCGAUAUUUAGUUGAUGAGUUGUUUCUUGGAAUGGAAGUUUUUGUUACUGGACAAAUGCAAAGAAGCCAACCCACGGGUCAUGCCAGAAAGAUGUUAGGUUUAGUCUCCUGAGGAGCUAAGUUCAUAUCAGGGUAUAAAGCUAGAAAAUGUGGCUUUUUGUGUUAGUAUUAUAUUUGAGCAGAUGCAGUUGCAAGAAGUCAAUGAUGAAGAAUUGAGCUUAACAUGAGAGUUAUUUGUCCAAAAUGUUAAGUGUUUUGGCUCAACUGAUAACAUCCCGUGGGUCAAGUUCAGAAAAAAA